CUCCUGCAGAUGAUGUCAUAUAUGCUGGUCACGUGACGAGAUACGACAGGGGCAGCCAUUUUGGCAGUCAUCGCGGCAGUAAAUUGACAGGCACUGGCAGACUGUCAAGGAUGGUGGAUAACUGCUGUGCACCAGGUUGCACAAAUAGGCGUGGGAAAAAGAAAGGUGUAUCGUAUUAUCGCAUUCCUAAAGACGCGGAGAGGAGGGAGAAGUGGAUUGGAGCGAUUAAAAGAGCCAGGAGCCUUCAGAAAAAGACUGAAAGAUGGGACCCCCCGGCCGUUGGCUUUCGCUUAUGCAGUGAUCACUUCAUAUCAGGGAGAAAGAGUGAUAAUCCGUUGAGUCCGGAUUUUAUCCCCUCAAUUUUCGAUUACCUUCCAUCUCCAGAGAAGAGGAGACAUAAAACGAGACUGGAGGUUUUUAACAGAAGGCAGAAGGCUAAACUGCACAAAGUAGAGCAGGCAAAGAUAUCUGCAGAAGCCAUCCGUCAAAGGACAUCAACUGAUGCAGCCCCAGAAGACCAUAUCACAGAGCCUUUGAAGGAGCCCCCCAUCACAGAUCCGUUGGAAGACUCAGCCGAUGAUCCUGUCCAGCC